rnacentral:rRNA from 1 species
CAGUCGUACCUUCGGGUAAUCAGCCUUUCGGGUGCGAUUCUGUGGAGUGUGAGGAGCUUAAACACCUUCAUGUUUUGCAUAUUCGUACUCUUGGGUGUACUUGCCCGUAUGGUUGGUUAACAUCAAUUUUGGUGGUCAUAAAAUGACUGGAGGAAUGUAGCUUCGAUCUUGUAUUGAAGUGUUAUAGCCUUGGUAGAUGUGAUGAUCAGGAUUGAGGAUUGCAACGGAUACCCUUCGGGGCUACCUGUCUGAUCUCUGAUCGUUGCUCUGGUGCCGAAAGCUU